GAUGAACGCUAGCUACAGGCUUAACACAUGCAAGUCGAGGGGAAACGGCAUCGAAAGCUUGCUUUUGAUGGGCGUCGACCGGCGCACGGGUGAGUAACGCGUAUCCAACCUGCCCAUCACUUGGGAAUAACCUUGCGAAAGUAAGACUAAUGCCCAAUGACAUCCCACGAAGGCAUCCGAAUGUGAUUAAAGAUUUAUCGGUGAUGGAUGGGGAUGCGUCUGAUUAGCUUGUUGGCGGGGUGACGGCCCACCAAGGCAACGAUCAGUAGGGGUUCUGAGAGGAAGGUCCCCCACAUUGGAACUGAGACACGGUCCAAACUCCUACGGGAGGCAGCAGUGAGGAAUAUUGGUCAAUGGGCGAGAGCCUGAACCAGCCAAGUAGCGUGCAGGAGGACGGCCCUAUGGGUUGUAAACUGCUUUUAUAAGGGAAUAAAGUGGGUCACGUGUGACUUUUUGCAUGUACCUUAUGAAUAAGGACCGGCUAAUUCCGUG
rnacentral:rRNA from 1 species